GAGGAUGUAGCUCAGUGGUAGAGUGCCUGCCUAGCAUGUGUGAGGCCCUGGGUUAAAUCCCCAGCACCCCA
rnacentral:tRNA from 1 species